rnacentral:rRNA from 1 species
UUAGAACGCUGGCGGCAGGCUUAACACAUGCAAGUCCGAGCGGUAGCACAGGGAGAGCUUGCUCUCCUGGGUGACGAGCGGCGGACGGGUGAGUAAUGUCUGGGAAACUGCCUGAUGGAGGGGGAUAACUACUGUGAAACGAGUAGCUAAUACCGCAUAACGUA